rnacentral:pre_miRNA from 1 species
GUUUGCUUGUGUGUGGACGGUGUUCAGCACAAGGGACAGGUAUGUUUGCUUGUGUGUGGACGGUGUUCAGGGACAGGUAUGUUUGCUU